AGAACCGACCCACAUUCGUUCCCGAACCGAACACUGUAUCUCAGCCCCCCUACCGUCCCGCCGGUAUGCACGACACGGGCCUCUCCGCCCGCACUGCCGGUGCUUCCUCGUCGUCACCGGCCACCAACGCCGGCGACGACGUCGACGAGUCCAAGACCCGGAAGGCGCAGCCUGCCUUCGUCGCCGCGGCCUACGCCCGGCUCCACUCCCCUUACUAUGCGGCCGCCUCCGCAGCCCUUCUCCUCCUCGCCCUCGCCGCCGCUGCCUUCCUCGCCGGCCGAGCUUUCCCCCGGACCGACUGCCCGCCGCUGCGCCUCGACGCGCGCUUCCUCUCCCUCCCUGACGCCGCCGCGGCCUCCGACUUCGGAUCCCUCGGCGUCCCCUCGUGCAGAUCCAAAACUGGGAAGACAGUGGAGUGGACUUCGAAAGAUUUACUUAAUGGACUGGAAGAAUUUGUGCCAAUCUAUCAGACACGCCCUAUGAAGAAUAACAUGCAUGGAAUGAGAUUUGACCACAGUUUUGGGCUUUGGUUUAUGGCUCGAUGGCUUAAGCCAGACCUGAUGAUUGAGAGUGGCGCAUUCAAGGGGCACUCAACUUGGGUUUUGCGUCAGGCCAUGCCAAACACUAGGAUUAUAUCUCUCACACCCAGACACCCUGAGAAAUAUCUUAAGAAGGGACCUGCGUAUGUUGAUGGAAACUGCACUUAUUUGGCUGGGAAGGAUUUUAUUGACUUUGGAAGUGUCGAUUGGGAAAAACUGUUGAUGAAGCAUGGCAUUUCUGAUCCCAGCAAGGUGCUUGUUUUCUUUGAUGACCACCAAAGUGAGCUGAAGAGGUUAAAGCAGGCACACAAAGCUGGAUUCCGGCAUCUCAUAUUUGAGGACAACUAUGACACUGGUACAGGCGACCAUUAUUCCUUGAGACAGAUAUGUGAUCAAUCACACAUCAGAGGUGGUGGACAUAGCUGCUUCUGGGACAGUGACGAAGCAAGAUUAAGGUCGGAACGAAUGAAGUUUUGGGGGAAGGCUGUGGACAUAGAUGAACUAUGUGGAAAGGAUGAUGCAUGGUGGGGAGUCAGAGGUUACAUGCGUGACAAUUUCAACCAUAGCAAUGAGGCCAUCUCACACAAAGAGCAUUUCCAGAACAGCAGGCUUGUUGAAUCUGUGUUGGAUCUGUAUUGGGAACUACCUCCUGUUGCUGGUCCGUCCUUAACUCAUCAGACAAGAUAUGACCCAGCCCGCGCAUCUGAUCCCAUCAUUGAAGAUGGACGCCAUGGCUUGUUUCAAAGAAUUGGCCUGAGUAGAUUGGACGCUUCAGUGUUCAACGGUUACACUCAGAUGGCAUACGUUCAGAUAUCAGGCACAAUGCUCAGAAGAGAGGAUGAGUAAAGGCUUUGUUUCACGGGCUUAGUUUUACGCUAACUGAACAGCCAUCCGUUGGUAAUGUUACGGAGCUACUACAGCAUUGCCAUAAGGAAAAAUAGUUGUCACGAAAACGCACUGAACACGGCCGGCUCCAUGCUGCAUUAAUGAUCGAUCCAGCCAUCGAGGGUGUCCUUUUGCACACCUAAAAAAUUGCAUGCUCCCUCCGUUCACUUUUGGAUCUCCAACGUGUGAGCAUCGACAGUUCUGGGGCAAGGCCGCACCAUCACAGGGAUCUCUGCACCGGCUAUUUCAUCUUCGCCAGUUCUUCUGCGCGGAGGCUCCAACGACCACGCCCAAGCACGCCGCCGCUACUUCCGGCGGCAGGCCGGAUCAGAGCUGAGCAAGUACGCAAGUAACCAUAUGGUCGGUCGGUGAAUCAAGGGCUGCCGAUUCAUGUCAGGA